rnacentral:rRNA from 1 species
GACGAACGCUGGCGGCGUGCCUAAUGCAUGCAAGUCGCACGGGCAGCCUUCGGGCUGCCAGUGGCGCACGGCUGAGGAACACGUGCGUACCUGCCGUUCCGUGGGGGACAACAUCGGGAAACCGAUGCUAAUCCCGCAUACGCUCGCAAGAGGAAAGCUCCCAAGCGCGGAACGAGGGGCGUGCGGCCCAUCAGGUUGUUGGCGGGGUAACGGCCCACCAAGCCCGUGACGGGUCGCUGGUCUGAGAGGAUGACCAGCCAGACUGGGACUGAGACACGGCCCAGACUCCUACGGGAGGCAGCAGCAAGGAAUUUUCGUCAAUGGGCGCAAGCCUGAACGAGCAACGCCGCGUGGUGGAUGACGGCCUUCGGGUUGUAAACACCUUUUGGGGGGGAUGACAGCGACCGUACCCCCCGAAUAAGCCCCGGCUAACUCUGUGCCAGCCGCCGCCGUAAAAC